rnacentral:sRNA from 1 species
UCCCUGGCUGCGGGAGAGACGGAGGUAGAGGGAGGACACAGAGCCGCGCCGCCCGCACCGGAGACCUUCGCCUCGCCCCGCCGGUUCCUCACCCUCGGGGAGCAACAUGGAUAAUCUCAGUGAUACCUUGAAGAAGCUGAAGAUAACAGCUGUUGACAAGACUGAGGAUAGUUUAGAAGGAUGCUUGGAUUGUCUGCUUCAAGCCCUGGCUCAAAAUAAUACGGAAACAAGUGAAAAAAUCCAAGCAAGUGGAAUACUUCAGCUGUUUGCAAGUCUGUUGACUCCACAGUCUUCCUGCAAAGCCAAAGUAGCUAACAUCAUAGCAGAAGUAGCCAAAAAUGAGUUUAUGCGAAUUCCAUGUGUGGAUGCUGGAUUGAUUUCACCACUGGUGCAGCUGCUAAAUAGCAAAGACCAGGAAGUGCUGCUUCAAACGGGCAGGGCUCUAGGAAACAUAUGUUACGAUAGCCAUGAGGGCAGAAGUGCAGUUGACCAAGCAGGUGGUGCACAGAUUGUAAUUGACCAUUUAAGGUCCCUGUGCAGUAUAACAGAUCCCGCCAAUGAGAAGCUCUUGACUGUCUUUUGUGGCAUGCUGAUGAACUAUAGCAAUGAGAAUGGUAAACAAAACUGAAAACUUGCUUUAUCUCUGGGGGAAAAAUUAAAAAUUAUCUUUACUAUAGUGCAAAACAAAAUAUUUGAAAAAUGAUGAACAAAGAAUUCGUAAGUGGCAUAUAAAAUUAAUAAUUAGCCAACAUUAAAUUUCAAUGUUUCAAAAAUGUAAAAUGGUUAAUUUACUAAAUGGGACUAAUUUUUGAAGGGCUGCCAGUUUUGAUCAGUAUCAAAAACAAAAACUCCACAGCCCUAUAGUAUGAUUUAAGCAUUCUUACUAUGAACAUUUUAAAAAUAAAAAAUAUUAAAAUAGUUUUAUCUUCAUUAUAUAUAU